rnacentral:rRNA from 1 species
UACGUAGGGGGCGAGCGUUGUCCGGAUUUACUGGGCGUAAAGAGCGCGCAGGCGGUCGGUCAAGUCGGGUGUGAAAGCCCCCGGCUCAACUGGGGAGGGUCACGCGAUACUGAUCGACUCGAAGGCAGGAGAGGGAAGUGGAAUUCCCGGUGUAGUGGUGAAAUGCGUAGAUAUCGGGAGGAACACCAGUGGCGAAGGCGACUUCCUGGCCUGUUCUUGACGCUGAGGCGCGAAAGCUAGGGGAGCAAACGGG